GAGAACUUCGUGGCUGGCUAACCGAAGCGGUAGCUCUGCAAUGACUUAAGAGCAGUUUUGUGCGCUUUUCCUGACGGGGUUCCGCCUCCAAAAUGCAUAAGUUCUCGCGAGACGCAGUAAGGCACCGGCUCGAACUGGGGCGGGCCACUGCCAGGAAAGCAACGCCCCUGAAUGCUUAUGCCGGUGGUUGGUAGAGGAAAUGGAAUUCCCCAGACUGUACCUCUUGACUUGCUACUGGUACCUGGAAGAGAUGUAACACCUGACCAUGGGACAUCAAGUGACUGUGUGAAUCAAACUGCCCAUCAUGAAUUGUUGUUAUUUGACUCAUCAAACUGUACAACUGGAUGAACACAGGAGCAGUGCACUACAUAUGGGACUGGAACCAUGAAUGAGCAGGUGACUCAGACUCCUAUAGUACCUGCCUCUACUCCUUCAGCACUUCUCCCUCAACCCACAUAAACUGUCAUCAUAAUGAGUUCCCUCUGACCAGUUAAUGGAAGAGAAAAAAGUAUGGAUGUUAUGGAUAUCCUAACAUAUUUCUGGCCAUUGGACCCCUAGAAACCUGUGGCAAGUCCUGGAAGUUUUUCAAGGUUCAUCUUGCACCUUCUAGCAUGCAUAUGUCGUACCAAAGCAUGUAGAAUGCUGCCUACUUCUGCUCUUCAGUUUCAUUUAAUAUAAUUUCAUUACUCUGAUAAAUCAGUGUGAUGUUCUAUGGAAUAACAAAAGACCAUCAAGGUCCCUUCAUACCAUAUAGAGAACAGGAGAGUUGAUGUAGCCUGAGACAAGACAGUAAGGACUUACUGUUAUCCCUCCUAUUUAAACGUAGUCUGUUUCUGAUUCUCCUUAGAAUGGGGGUGGGGGGACAUUUCCAGAUCAAUAUCAGAUCAGUAUCAUGUCAACAUGGGUAUUAAUUUCUUCCGAAGAAGAUACCACACCUAGAACAGCAACCAUAAUUGGCAUCCCUACCUAAUUAAAGUUUGCAGUCCACUGUCAUUCUUCACUAGCCAUCUG
rnacentral:lncRNA from 1 species